UUCUCUGUUUUGCAGGUUAGGUAGAUGCCACUAUUAGCAUAGUGAAGGAUGAAUUAGACAAUAGAAACCCAGUUGGAAAGUAAUCAUCAUAGUCCAGGUAGGAGAGGAGGAAAGCCUGGAUUAAAAAACACCAACAACUGCUGGUGAUAGGAAUAAUGGGAGGAAGGAGGCUGAUCUGAGAGGAAUCUUGGAAAAAAAAAACAGACAGAAAUUGAUCAUCAAGUGAAUAUUGAUGGGGAAAAGACAGAAGAUAAAAGGGGAAAUCAAGGCAGCGUUGCUAUUUCUAGCAUGGGUCUUUGAGAAUUUAUAUUUAAGACUGUCUUGGUUGAUGAUGUGAUAAUAACAGAAAAUAACAACUCAAAGGAAAAAUAUAAUGUGUUAGGAGGAAUAAAAAUAAUAAAAAAAGAGUGUAUUGGCUCAUAACUAAAAAUUCCAAGGGUAGAAUGUGGCUGGGAUCUAGACAUCCAAAACAUGCCACCAUUUUUCUGACCUCUCCUCACCUCUUGGCUUUCUUUCCCUUUAUGCUGGAAUUAUUCUCAGGCUCUAUGUGAUGGUAUCAAGACAGACAGUGACUCCAGUCCAGAAUCUUCACAGCAACAAAUCUAGCAGGAAAAAGAGACUUUUGCACUCCUUCCUUCAAAAGUUUACUUAGGCCACCCGCUUAGAUCUGAACUCACCACUGUGGCCAGGGACAUCAUUCUCUGAGAGAACCCCAUGAAGGAGAGAAGGUGCUGUCUAGGGAAAAGCUGGAGUCCUGUUUCUAAGAGAAUGGAAAAUAAAUUUUGACUGAGCAAAACACUGCAACUCUCACUUAUAAUUUGCAAAACCACUAACUAAGGUAGUGAAUAUAGAAAGGAGAAUAGUUCAGGUGGGUGCAUGAAGAAAGGAGGAGCAAGAUGACAAGAAGGGUUUGUAUUUCUUGCUUUGCAUAUCACAAUAACUAUUAAUAAUUAUCACUAUAAUGAUUUAUAGUAACCAUUCGGAGCCUCAUUCUACUAAAAGCAGGCAACAGACAGUUUUGAGAAUGUGUAUUUGUAAGACAUGGCAUUUUUUGUAUUCUUCAAAAGAUUUUGAAGUACUCAGGGUGUGUACUUCUUUAUUAUCCAUUAUAAGUCAGACAAUGAUUUUCAGAUGCAUUAUAAUGAUGUGCACAUUUAACACAUUUAGGAGUGUAUGCAAAUGUGGGUGAAUAGGUCUAACACUUUUAUUACUUUAAUCCUUAUUUCAUUAUUUUUAUUUGUCCAAACGCUUGAAGAUUGUGCCAUAUAAUAGUUUUUCCUUUCAUUCCUUCUUUGUCAUUGUUCUGGAGAUUUCAUUUAGACAAUUUAUAUAGAAAAACACUGUCUCAGGGCCAGGCAUGGUGGCUCAUGCCUGUAAUCCCAGAACUUUGGGAGGCCAAGGUGGGAGGAUCACAAGAUCAGGAGGUCGAGACCAUCCUGGCUAACACAACAAAACCCUGUCUCGACUAAAAAAUACAAAACAUUAGCCAGGCGUGGUGUUGGGCGCCUGUAGUCCCAGCUACUCGGGAGGCUGAGGCAGGAGAAUGGCAUGAAUGAGCCGAGAUCAUGCCACUGCACUGCAGCCUGGGCAACAGAGCGAGACUCUGUCUCAAAAAAAAAAAAGAAAAA
ensembl:lncRNA